rnacentral:rRNA from 1 species
CUCAACGUAUUAGGCUUUCGGGGGAGUACUGCCAGACUUGGAACCGGGAGAGGUAAGAGGUACUACAGGGGUAGGAGUGAAAUCUUGUAAUCCCUGUGGGACCACCUGUGGCGAAGGCGUCUUACCAGAACGGGUUCGACGGUGAGGGACGAAAGCUGGGGGGCACGAACCGGAUUAGAUACCCGGGUAGUCCCAGCCGUAAACGAUGCUCGCUAGGUGUCAGGCAUGGCGCGACCGUGUCUGGUGCCGCAGGGAAGCCGUGAAGCGAGCCACCUGGGAAGUACGGCCGCAAGGCUGAAACUUAAAGGAAUUGGCGGGGGAGCACAACAACGGGUGGAGCCCUGCGGUUUAAUUGGACUCAACGCCGGACAACUCACCGGGGGCGACAGCAAUAUGUAGGCCAAGCUGAAGACUUUGCCUGAAUCGCUGAGAAGAGGUGCAUGG